rnacentral:lncRNA from 1 species
GCUGUCGUCCACGCCGCGGUAGAAAAGCGGAUGGGCAUAUGCGUCAGGGAUGUUCAGGAUCUGGCCCGUGGUCGCCACGUGUCCCGCGAUGCCCUGAUCGGCCGGGAUGCGGAUCUCAUAGCUCUGCCGGAGCAGAGAUGGAGUCGAGAGGAAGAAGUUAGUGACCCGGCCACAGAGGGGACUGUUAAACCUCGGGCCGCUCCCCAGCGCCGCCGGCGGACUCCCGGACACCCCUAGGGCCACAUACUCCCUCCACACCCUCUCACCUCAUCAUCCACCACGCCCCCGUCGAACACCUUGGCCACCAGCUCAUUCUGAUCCAGCAGGAACACAGAGCAGCUGUGGAGGGAGGGGUUUGGUCCUCUGGGGCCUGACAACCCCCUCUGAUCGCCCUCACGUCCCAUAAGGAGGCAAAGGCCGGAUUUCCGAGGCCUGGGAGGAGUGCUCCAAGGCCCACCCAACUGUCAACACAGUUCCAUGCUGGUAGGUUCUGCAGCUCAGACCUAGGACUCCUGGAUCUCCACCCUACCCCAGCAGACCUCAGGCCCGGGCUCUGACACCUACCUAGUCCCAGGCUCUCUAGUGUCCACCUCCUGCAGGAGCUCCAGGCCCUGAAACCCAGCCUGUUUGCUUGGACUCCAGAGACCAGCAUCCUAUCAGCAUCUCUUUGCAUCAGGACUCAGCCCCUCAUCUGUCUACUUCUCCCCACCUAUGUGACACAGCACAAACUGCUCAUCCUGCCAGCCCAAGUGUGAACCUGCACCCAGGACAGAAAUGGCUCAUCAGACGCAGCACUGUUUCUCCCUGAACUAAGAUCCAUUUGCAAUAAAAUUCAGGCACCUACUGCCUGUUUAU